ACUAAAUUAUAUUCCAGCGAUGGGAGGGAUUUAUUGUCCCCAUAUCCACUAUAACAGAUACAACGGAAGAAACUGGAGUUUCAAUUUAAUGUGAAAUGUCUGACUGUUAAAACUCCUGAAACUAUUGAGAAUCAACUGGCGAAAGGAGGCCAUGGACAUAGAUGACAUUGUCUUUGAAUAAUUGCCACAUUCUUGACAUUUGCAAAUCUUGAACACCAUCGUUGUGUUCCCUCCAUAACGUAAAUCCCACUGUCUUUAUAUCGGAUUCUAUGAAGAUUCAACAAUGCCAGCCAAAGGGACAAGUAGGUCCAACCUGACUGAUCUCUUGUUGACAUAUAACUUUAAAGUUGUGUGUUCUGCAUGCUCUGUAAAAGAAAACGAAAUCUCGUACACCCUUAAAGCAGUCGACCACCAAUGCAGCAGAGAACUUCUAUUGGCUAAAGGCAAAGGUACUAACAAAUGGAGGCUUGUUUCCCGUCGCCCUGAAUUUCCAAACCCAAGCCAGUAUGAAGUUUGUUGGUUCUUCAAGGAGGGCUCUGGGUGUAUGAAGCACAGGAACCGCUGCACCUUCGCAAGGAGUCACGAGGAGGCCACAGUAUGGAACUUUGUAAAGCACCAGAGGAUAGAUCACAGCACGUUAAUUAGACUGAUAACCGAGUCGGAUAGAAGUGCCGUCCAACUGCAAAACAUGGCUGAAAACAUCCUCACUGAGUUCUCAGGGACAUUUCAAGAGCUUUGUAAAGACUGCUUCCUCGGCACUCCACCAACAAUUACAGGUAAACGGUGGAACAACACUUGCUCAGUGGAUGCAGCUCAUGUCUGGAGCCCAGUCUUGGUUCAUCACCUGGCAGAAAGUCAGGGGAAGGAAGUCUACAAUCAGAUAAGGCCUCUGCCCCCAGUCUGCCCUUUCCAGUACUGCAACCAUGUCAUGCAAGGUAUGCCCUGUUGGCAUGGGCCCAGACAGUGCCAGUUUGCCCACAGCGAGGUGGAGAUGGCUGUCUGGCGAGCAGAGGCACAUGGGGGGAGUCGCCAGGAACUCCUGCAGCUCUCCCAGGAGAGGCAACGUCAGAAGCCACAGUCGGCUCAAGACGUAGUGCCCGCCCCUAACCUGCAGGUUGCGACCUACUGCAAGGCUUGCCUCGUAACCCUCUCCUCCCGGGAGAGCUUUUUCAAGCACUGUGCCUCAUUGGAGCAUGCCCAGAUGAUCUCCGGGGACACGACCACAGAUUGGAAACAUCGUCCCCCGCCCCACGACCGCAAAGCAGAGUUUUGGCUGUGCGAGAGACCUGACACCUGUGAAUAUGGCACCAACUGUGUGAAAGCUCACUCUGAGGAGGAGCUUGAAGAGUGGGUAAUGCGAGCCAAAGAAGAUAAGGAGAUAAGGCGCAACAUAGAGGCUCAAGGCCUCAUGUCUUACAGGGAUCGUCUUUUGGAGGAGUACAGACACAGCAGCAAUGAAGUGCACAUUAUGUCAGAGCAAGUUGAUGAUGUGACUGUCACUUUUGAAGAGGAUUUGUGUGUGGAGUGUGUGGAGACUGAAGCAGAAUUCCAAUGGAAGUUCCAGAUCAAAACAGAGAGACUACUUGCACAUGUAGCAUUACUGAAACAGGAACCUGGAGCCUCUUUCUCCCUGGAUGAAAACAGUCCUGAGCCCUGCACUUACUCCACGGGUGAAUCGUUCUGUAACUCAGACAUGACCUAUGACAUCACCGUGUCCUUCAAGUCCAACAACCCGGGUCUUUACGAACAGUGGUUGGUGUUCGACUUUGACAUGAGGCCAGUGCUCCUGCAGAAACUGAAGGUUAAAGUCGGACAGCAGCUAUCCCCUAAGCUCGAGGAGCCACCUGAGGACGUUGGGCUCCCUUCCCAGAAUCUGGAACGCUGGCAUCGGGGGAACAGGGUCUUCAUCCCCUGCUUGGAAAAGACAGAAGUACAGGAAGAGCUUCUGAAGGAGUACAAGCCUCCUCAGAUUAGUUUGCGGUAUAAACCACUUGACGACCGCAACACGCCCAUGAAUCACCAGAAUUACAAAGAGAGAAUGCACAGCUUCCUGUACACAGAGGAGCAGGCAGAAGAUCAGGUGGUUUCAAGACUCAAUGUUCGAGGGACCAUCACCUUGUCGGCCACCCUAGACAACCUUCUGUUCGGGAUGAAGAUAGCUCCUCUGGGGGAACUAUUCUGUGCCGUCUCAGUUCCUUAUAAUCUCACCCCAGACACCCCUGAGGGUUUGAUGCUGAGACGAGGCAUCCAAUCAGCUCUCAUAGCACCAGUAUCUUCAGAUAAUCAAAGUCACAAGGUCUACGAAGCCAUCAUUCUCAGAGACGCCACCAGUGAGUAUAAAAUACACUUGCAGCUGUCUAAAAGAUGCUGCUCUGACCUGAAGCUCCAAAAAAAUGAAACAUGUGAAAUGGAAGUUCAGUUCCAGCUGAAUCGUCUGAAGUUUUGUGAGAUGCACAAAGCCAUAGAUCUCCUUCCAGACACAGAGAGAGUGUUACCAGACUUCAGGAACUGCAGUGUCCCUGUUAACAAAAUACAAUACCCCAAACUCAAUGCAAAGCAGCAGGCAGCCAUUGAUUUCAUCAUAGGGGACUCCGAUGGAAGAGAAAGUGUGGCCCCCCUCCUCAUUUAUGGACCGUUUGGAACUGGGAAAACCUUCACGCUCGCUACAGCAGCCAAAGAGCUGGUACGGCAGCCUCACACCAGAGUACUGAUCUGCACUCUUACAAACAGCUCUGCAGAUUUGUAUGUCAAAGACCACUUCCACUCAUACAUUAACUCUGGACACCCUGAGAUGAAGCCAGUGAGGAUAAAAGCAAAUAAACUAGGGGUUCCAGUGAGUGCCACAGAUGAGAUCACACAGAAGUACUGCCUUCUAUCAGAAAACGGACAGUUUUUCCUACCUCCUGCCAAAUGUGAUUUAGAUUGCCAUCGAAUAGUCAUCACAACUACUGCAAUGGCAAGGCACUUCCAGGACCUGAAGCUCCCUGGCGGCUACUUCACCCACAUCCUGAUUGACGAAGCGUCCCAGAUGCUUGAAUGUGAAGCUCUGAUGGCCCUUGGUCUGGCUGGGCCAGUAACUCGAGUGGUUCUAGCUGGAGAUCACAUGCAGAUGGGACCAAAGCUCUUUUCAGUGGACGAUGACCAACGCUCCAAUCACACCUUGCUGAACCGUCUGUUCCACUACUAUCAAGCCCAAGAGAGUAGUGCAGCUUUGAAAAGCAGAAUCAUUUUCAACGAGAACUAUCGCUCCACCAAAGAGAUAGUAGAAUUCGUGUCCACUAACUUCUAUGUUGGCAAGUCUGAUGCCAUCAAGGCUGUAGGUAAUGUCCCAGCUCAUCCGAACUGCCACCCCCUGAGGUUCCACCAUGUCAGAGGAGAAUCUCACUUGGACAACACAUCCAUGUCGUGGUUUAAUCUUGAAGAGGUUACAUGCGUGGUUAAAAUAGUGCAAAAUCUACUCAGAGAUUGGCCACCCGCAUGGGGGAAUAAGGAUCAACGCUCAGUCUGUGUUCUCUCUGAAGGAUGCCAGGUUCCAAUGAUCAGGAAAGAGCUUCGGAAAAUAUCCCUGAGUCGAGUGACUGUGGAAAAUAUUGCCAAUGUUCAAGGCAAACAGUUUAGAGCAAUAGUAUUGACAGCCGUUCAAACCCGUGACAGCAUUCACCCUUCUGACUCACAUUGUGUGGAGUUUUUCAACGAUGCUCGCGUGCUGAACACGGCCAUGACUAGGGCUCAAUCCCAGGUUGUUGUGGUUGGAGAUGCUGCUGCUCUCUGCUACUUUGGAAAGUGCUCAAGAAUCUGGAGGAACUACAUUGAACAGUGUAUAACAAAGGGAAGUGCUGAACCGAAACACCUUACACAAGACAUAAUUGAUAGUGAUAUCAAGGAAAUGUCAAGAUUCCAACGGUCAGAAGACCUGGAUGAGACCAGCGCUCAGUCAGUUAUGUUCGGCACAGGGAACAACGUGGAUGCGAUUCUCCAACAGCUGCAAGAGGAGCAAAACAUGGCAAUCUACAAUUCAUCUGAUGGAGACAAAUCGGAAUCUAAAAAUGUAGACCAAAAAAGACCAUACGAUAGUACCAAAGAUGAAAGAGUUGAGUUGUUGCGGUUGUUGAGAGAGCAGCCAAAUGUGUACAAGCAAGGUGAAUUGGUCAUGGAGAAAUAUAACGCAGGUUAUAUCAUACCAUUUGACAACCCAACUAAGCACAUUAUCAUCAAAGGUAGAGCUAAUCUCGGCAAGUCCUUCGCUGGUGACGAAGUGGUGGUAGAAGAAUUUCAUCGUGAGGGCCAUUCACAGGGAAAGGUGAUAGGCACCAUCAAGCCAGCUGCAUCCUCUCGUGUGUUUGUUUGUACCCUCGAAGAUGAAGAUUACCAUAAACGCAAAACGUCUGAAUAUCAACAUCUCAGAAAGAUAAUGGUACCCCUCAAUAAGAACACUACCAAAAUUUGCACCUUGGUCAAUAAGAAGAGUCGCAAUUUUAUUACAAUAUGGAAGCACGAUGACGGAGAAUGGGAGAUUGUCAGACGUCAACACCUUGAUGAAGACAUCAAACGCAAUCAUGUCUUUGUGGUGGAGGUCUUUGACUGGAAAACGAAAAAAGAAAGCAAUGAAAUCUAUCCCUUUCCGUUAGGGAACGUGAUAGAUAUUGUUCCCAUAGGAUUAUCUUUGGAACGGGGCUUAAAGAUUUUGGACGCAGAAUUUCAAGUCGAACCAUCGCCUCCCAGACAUGUUUUAGAUGAAGUGUGUUCCUGGGAAGACACCCACAUUGGUAACAGAGAGGACCUCCGAAUGUUGACUACUUUCACUGUUGACCCAAAGAAGUCCCAAGACUUGGAUGAUGCAAUUAGUGUCAUUGACAAGGACAGCUACUAUGAGGUUGGAGUCCACAUAGCAGAUGUGGCAAGUUUCGUGAAGAUUGGUGAUUCGUUGGAUGAUUAUGCACAAAAACAGGGUGCUACAUAUUACAGUCCUGAAGAACCAGUUUACAUGUUCCCAAAACCAUUUAGCCUCAACCACUUGAGUCUCCUGCCUGGUCAAGAUCGUAUGGUGAUUUCAUUAGUGGUACAAGUAGACAAGGCAACAGACAAAAUCAUUGACAAGAACUUCAAUCUUUCUCAGAUCAAUUCUGAUAGAAAGUUCUCUUAUGAAGAGGCGGAGGACAUCAUCAGUAAGCAGUCAAGAGAAGAGGCCAAGUUUGAUACUGUAGAAGACUGUGUUGCUGUGGCAUAUCGUUUUGCCAAAGUCCAAAGGAAGGCCAGGCUGGGCAAGGAUUGGAACUAUAAACGACUGGAUGAUCACCAGAUGCCAGGGAAGAGGAGAUCCCAUCAGAUGAUUGAGGAGCUUAGUGUACUGUUCAACAAUUCUGUGUCUGAAUUUUUGAGCAACGCAAAAGAAACCAUGCACUGCACUCCUCUCCGAUGUCAAGCAAGACCUGACCCUAACAUGGUCAAAGACUUGAAAGCGCAGUGCAAAGACAUCAUAUCACUGUCCUCACACCUAAGGCACAACCUUGACCACGACCAUGACCAAGAGGUCUUGGAGAGCAAAAGCUUCCCAGUGCUAACAUCAGUGUGGAAUGAGAUCCUAUCAGCUGCUGGGAACGGGGAAGUUGACACUGACAGAAUGAUUGAUCUGAUAGCUACAGAUGACAUCUAUCCCCAGCUCCUUCCAGUGAUAUAUAAGUUUAGGAAGUGUCUUGGCAAAGCGUAUGUCAUCCGUUCCAAUUCAUCCCCUAAGGCAACUGUUGGGCACUAUUCCUUGCAUCUGAAGUCCUAUACACAAGCAUCCUCGCCCAUACGUCGCUACAUGGAUGUUAUCCUGCAAAGGCUUUUGCAUUCAAUUCUAAGCGGCACUCCAGUCCAAUAUUCGCCACAAGACAUUGACAUUCUGGGUCAGAAGAAUGAAGAAAGAUACAAGAAGGCCAAUGAGUAUGAAAAGAGGGCUGAGAUGAUUUCCUUUGCCAUAGACGUGAAGAAACAAAAUGUUUUGAAGAUAGCAUUUGUUGUUGGUGUUGAGGUAGGAGACAGUUUCAAGCUGUCAUUUCCAUUUGACAGUCACUCAUUUCCAGACAGUUUGCCUGUUAUGUACAGAGAUUUGCAACUGGAGGAUCAACCACUGUACGACUCAAACGAGAAUCACAUGACUCUAACAUGGAGAAGACGAGUGUACUCAGUUGACACUGCCAAAACUCACCAAGAGCUAAAAAGGGUGCAAAAUUCUUCUGCAUGCACCGAGCUUUCACAAAAGACUUGGCGAGACAUUGUUGAUGCAAUUGACCAGGAAAAAUGGAAGAUAGCAAGAUCUCUCAUACUAAGCGCCACAACAAAGCAAAUGGAACAUUUGAAGAGUGUGCCAAAACAUACCACAAUGGAUUUGCUUGACACUGGGAAUGACUCUCAUAGAACUGCACAUGGACAAGAUGAAAAAAUUGAAAUGGAGCACUAUGUUGAUCUUACUCUCCAGUUGAAGCCAGGAGACACACUUCCGGUCCAAAUUACAUCUGAAAGAAAGCGAGGUUAUUGGACACCCACUCUUCAGUUGGUGUGCAUCAAACCAACAUUUGAGGUGUGUGUAGACCAUGCCCACAGCCCUAUCACAUGCUUCUCCAAAUGUGCAGACCGUCCAUCCAAGAGUGAAUAUAGAAACGCUGAAGAGUAUGUGAGGAUCUGGAAACCACUUUGUGAGAUGGAGUCUGCAGCCAAUGCUGUGGAUGAAAGUGACAUCAUAAUCAUUGAGGACCUGGAGCUGAACUUGCAAGGUAGCAAACGAGAAGGAAGUUUUGACCUUCCUCUCGAAUACAUUAAAGAAUGGGCCAUUGAAUGCAACCUUAACAAGUGCUUACUGUGUAUCCGAAAAAGAGGGUUGAAACUGGCCUCAACCCCUGACCAAUCAGAUGAAGUAGUUGACCCUCAAAACUACACAUGGGUGGCCCAUGGUGUGACAACCAAGUUCGACGAACCAAAGAAGAACUCUCCAAAUCAAGCCAGAAAAGUGCACUUCUACAUCAACCAUUUGCCAAUGGAUACCAUUCCAGAGUGUGUCUCCCAGAGAAAGACAACAUAUACAGUUGAGAUAAUCCCAAAGCUUCUACCAGACGUACGUAAAGAAAUGGCUGUGAACAAUGUUGUGCAUGCAAAUGAGCUUGUGCAGAAAAUAGCCCUAGGACAUCCUAUUCCAAAAGGAGCUUCGCAAUCUGUUGUACCACGACACCUACUCAUGAGAGAAAAGGCACCAGAAGGUCUCCCAGAGCUGAAUAAGAGUCAAUAUGAUGCAGUGGAGAAAGCUCUGAAUAACAACUUCACACUCAUACAAGGACCACCUGGGACUGGAAAGACCGUUGUAGGAGUGUACAUUGUGUACUGGUACCAUGUGCUAAACUCCCACAACCCCAGGAUAUUUGAAGAUCCCAAGGACAAGGACAAGAAAGAAGUUAUUCUCUACUGUGGUCCUUCCAACAAGUCUGUCGAUGUGGUUGCUGAGUACCUGUUGAGGUUUGGAGACAAGCUGAAGCCCCUCCGGUUGUACAGCCGACAAAUGGAGAUGCUGGAGUACCCAUACCCAGGCAGUAUCCUUCAGCUGUCUCCCAGGUCACUUCGCCAAGAGCGGUCCAAGCCAAAUCUCAGAGCUAUUACCUUGCAUCAUCGCAUACGGGAAGAACAAAAUCCGCAUUCCCGGGAAAUACAAGAGUUUGACCGCAGAAUAAACCUAGCAAGAGAGGAGGGAGAGGAGCUGACAGACGAAGAAGUUGAGGACUACAAAAAGCUUCUGAAUAAAGCUCGUGUGUAUGAGCUGCAGAGACACGAUGUCAUUCUGUGCACCUGCACAGCAGCCUCCACCCCUAACCUGAUUAAAACAGUCAGUGCACGCCAGAUCCUUAUUGAUGAAUGUGCUAUGGCAACGGAACCUCAGGCCCUCAUCCCAUUGGUCAGCAACAAACCAGAAAAGCAGCAACUGUUUAGGCCUGGGCCAUACAAUGUUCAUCCCAGUGGGGCUCCUCAAUUGUGUUGCUUGGUGACCACAAACAACUACGUCCCAUCAUCAAGAAUGAACUUGUGAGGAAGUUGGGGAUGUCAAAGUCUAUGUUUGAGCGCUACUUUGAACGCCGGUCCCAGACAGUGAUGCUGGAUACCCAGUACAGAAUGCAUGAAGAUAUAUGCAAGUUCCCAUCAGAGGAGUAUUAUGAAGGCAAACUGAAGACUGACGUGGAUCGCCCAAAUAGUGUCCUUCAGGUUGACGGCAAGCAGACGCACAUUGUUUUCGGCAACGUCAGUGGAGAAGAGGUCAGCCUGGUUGUGAGCACAGAAAAAGGAAAUGAAAACUCCAAAGCGAAUAUGGAGGAGAGAGACAUAGUGGUUCGGCUCGCCAAGCAGCUGGUGACAGAAUCCAAAGUAAAACAACAGAGUAUUGCGAUCCUAUCUCCCUACAAUGCCCAGGUGGCCGAAAUUAAGAAAGAACUGAGAAAAAUGAAACUGGACGAAAUCACGGUCACCACCAUCACAAAAAGUCAAGGAAGUGAAUGGCGCUAUGUCAUCCUGUCCACUGUGCGCUCCUUACCCAGCAAGGAGAUCGAGACAGAGCCGGACUGGGCCUGGCUGUCCAAACAUGUGGGCUUUGUUCGUGACCCCAACCAGAUAAACGUGGGCAUUACCAGGGCCAAAGAGGGACUGUGCAUUAUCGGUAACCAGGAGUUGUUGAGCCGCAGUGGCGCUUGGAGACAACUCCUCAAACAUUAUACGGCAAGGAACUUUGUCACAGAAGCUAAAAAGAUCUCUGUGCGCAAAGUAGCAAAAUAGCCUGUAAGCACUGUCUACAUUGAGCGACGUGGUCUCGGCACCAGUUCGGUGCACAAUGAACAGUAAAAAUCACUUUUUCAGGAUACAUUUAUGAUGUUGCUUCAGUUUCAAUGUUGAGUCAAAUGAGUUAAAUACUGCACUCACUGUCAUUUUUAAUGUGACCUUUCAAUGUCAUUCAAUGGUCUCCUUUUUUAAUGACUACCUAUGCUCUUAAUGUCUGGUUUUGGUGUUUAAACUGUGAGAUGUUAUUCUGCAAUUAUUUACAUUGAUGUUCAAAUUAUAUUUUUUGAGAAAUGUUUUAUAUUUUUGUUGAAUCAAAUACUGUGAUCUUUAAAAUCAACUGUACUCGAUAGUGUACAUUUUUAAAUCAACUGUACAUUCGUAUGGCUGUAUUCUCUUUUACUAUUUGUAUUUUACAAUUUAAUUUCAACUGUGUUCUUCUACACUGUUUUUUACUGCAGACCUUUUUGGUCAAAUUUUUCAAGGUAUCACAUUCCAUUUAUAAAUUAUCGUAUUUUCCCAAAUGAAGCUUAAAUCUGGGACUAUAAAAUAGGUUUCAUAGUAAAAGAACUAUGCAUUAGUUAAUCCUAGUCUGACUGCUGUAGGUGUAUUCCAGUGUGUAGACUAGAUAUAGAUUAUAUUAGAUGUAGUAUGGUAAAGAUUGGAUUCUUUUUGAUCUAAAUCAUUUAAUAAAGUAAUAGCUGAUCAUAAAAA